rnacentral:rRNA from 1 species
AUUGAACGCUGGCGGCAGGCCUAACACAUGCAAGUCGAACGGUAACAGGAAACAGCUUGCUGUUUCGCUGACGAGUGGCGGACGGGUGAGUAAUGUCUGGGAAACUGCCUGAUGGAGGGGGAUAACUACUGGAAACGGUAGCUAAUACCGCAUAACGUCGCAAGACCAAAGAGGGGGACCUUCGGGCCUCUUGCCAUCGGAUGUGCCAGAUGGGAUUAGCUAGUAGGUGGGGUAACGGCUCACCUAGGCGACGAUCCCUAGCUGGUCUGAGAGGAUGACCAGCCACACUGGAACUGAGACACGGUCCAGACUCCUACGGGAGGCAGCAGUGGGGAAUAUUGCACAAUGGGCGCAAGCCUGAUGCAGCCAUGCCGCGUGUAUGAAGAAGGCCUUCGGGUUGUAAAGUACUUUCAGCGGGGAUGAAGGGAGUAAAGUUAAUACCUUUGCUCAUUGACGUUACCCGCAGAAGAAGCACCGGCUAACUCCGUG